AAUACUGAUGAUCCUUUUGUGCAACCAGAACCUGUGAAGAAAUUUAUAAAACCCGGGAAACGAAGACGACCCAAGUAAACCAUGGAAAAAGAAAACAGAACAUUCUGAAGAAGACUACGACUCUGAUUAAGAGGAAUAUUUACAAGUUCAAAUGCUCAAUACUCAGUCAUUAUCUACGUCAGAGUAAUAAUCCCAGUGCAUGUUACAAGAACAGUUCUUAAAGCCAUCGAAGAGCCUAACAACUAUGAUAAGAUAAAGCUCAUGACAACACAGAAUUCCGGUGAAAGGGGGCGGA